GUUAGUGCAAUCUGAACCGUGUCUCAGGAGGGGCGCCGCUUUAUUCUGUCUCCCUCUGCUGCUUAUUUAGGGCCUCAUCACGCUAAGCACCAUGGGAGCGACUUAAAUCAGUCUCGACGAGAACUCCAAGUAUUGCAUAAUUCAUACAUCUCACAAGCUCGUGGCCAAAAAACAAAAGAGCAUCAGUUACUGUGCACUAAGAGCGCUUAAGUACCUAAUCCCACGGUUAACAAUAGUGUUAGAUACUAUUAACUCAAACUGAACCCUAUUAAGCCAAGAUCUUUCACUCGCUUGUAGAAAAUCAUCAGAAAAUCGGGAGAAAUCGCCAGAAAAUCGGGAGAAAAUUGGAUUGUUUACCUGGGCCUGGUACUCACGUGGGAAGCACCAAAGUGUUUGCAAAGGUCCAGAUUCUGCCCUAGUAAGUGUAAAGUGAGAAUGGCUGACUUCGCCUCGGAUAACUCAGCCAACGACACGAGGGAGACCUUAUCCUCCCCCACCCCUAUCCACACCUCUGGCAUUUUCCCCCACACCUCCUCCUCCUCCUCCUCUACCUCCUCCUCCUCCUUCCCCCCCACAAUGACUGAAAGACUGAUGGCGAUGGUGAUGGUGGAGGCAGAGUGUCAGGCUGAUGCUAAGAAAUCUGGCAAGCAGGAUGACGUCACUACGAGUCAACACACACACACACACACACACACACACACACACACACACACACACACACACACACACACACACACACACACACACACACACACACACACA